AAUCCAUAGGUUAAUGAGGCGAACCGGGGGAACUGAAACAUCUAAGUACCCCGAGGAAAAGAAAUCAACCGAGAUUCCCCCAGUAGCGGCGAGCGAACGGGGAGGAGCCCAGAGCCUGAAUCAGCAUGUGUGUUAGUGGAAGCGUCUGGAAAGGCGCGCGAUACAGGGUGACAGCCCCGUACACAAAAGCGCAUGUGCUGUGAGCUCGAUGAGUAGGGCGGGACACGUGGUAUCCUGUCUGAAUAUGGGGGGACCAUCCUCCAAGGCUAAAUACUCCUGACUGACCGAUAGUGAACCAGUACCGUGAGGGAAAGGCGAAAAGAACCCCGGCGAGGGGAGUGAAAAAGAACCUGAAACCGUGUACGUACAAGCAGUGGGAGCACCCUUUGGGGUGUGACUGCGUACCUUUUGUAUAAUGGGUCAGCGACUUAUAUUCUGUAGCAAGGUUAACCGAAUAGGGGAGCCGGAGGGAAACCGAGUCUUAAUUGGGCGUUAAGUUGCAGGGUAUAGACCCGAAACCCGGUGAUCUAGCCAUGGGCAGGUUGAAGGUUGGGUAACACUAACUGGAGGACCGAACCGACUAAUGUUGAAAAAUUAGCGGAUGACCUGUGGCUGGGGGUGAAAGGCCAAUCAAACCGGGAGAUAGCUGGUUCUCCCCGAAAGCUAUUUAGGUAGCGCCUCGUGAAUUCAUCUCCGGGGGUAGAGCACUGUUUCGGCUAGGGGGCCAUCCCGGCUUACCAACCCGAUGCAAACUGCGAAUACCGGAGAAUGUUAUCACGGGAGACACACGGCGGGUGCUAACGUCCGUCGUGAAGAGGGAAACAACCCAGACCGCCAGCUAAGGUCCCAAAGUCAUGGUUAAGUGGGAAACGAUGUGGGAAGGCCCAGACAGCCAGGAUGUUGGCUUAGAAGCAGCCAUCAUUUAAAGAAAGCGUAAUAGCUCACUGGUCGAGUCGGCCUGCGCGGAAGAUGUAACGGGGCUAAACCAU
rnacentral:rRNA from 4 species